UACGUAGGGUGCGAGCGUUGUCCGGAAUUAUUGGGCGUAAAGGGCUCGUAGGCGGUUUGUCACGUCUGCUGUGAAAUCCCGAGGCUCAACCUCGGGCCUGCAGUGGGUACGGGCAGACUGGAGUGCGGUAGGGGAGAAUGGAAUUCCUGGUGUAGCGGUGGAAUGCGCAGAUAUCAGGAGGAACACCGAUGGCGAAGGCAGUUCUCUGGGCCGUAACUGACGCUGAGGAGCGAAAGCGUGGGGAGCGAACAGG
rnacentral:rRNA from 1 species